UGGGGAAUAUUGGACAAUGGGCGCAAGCCUGAUCCAGCCAUGCCGCGUGAGUGACGAAGGCCUUAGGGUUGUAAAGCUCUUUUGGCGGGGAAGAUAAUGACGGUAACCGCAGAAUAAGCUCCGGCUAACUUCGUGCCAGCAGCCGCGGUACUACGAAGGGAGCUAGCGUUGUUCGGAAUCACUGGGCGUAACGCGCACGUAGGCGGACUUUCAAGUCAGGGGUGAAAUCCCGGGGCUCAACCUCGGAACUGCCUUUGAUACUGUUGGUAUCGAGUCCGGAAGAGGUGAGUGGAAUUCCUAGUGCAGAGGUGAAAUUGGUAGAUAUUAGGAUGAACACCGGUGGCGAAGGCGGCUCACUGGUCCGGUACUGACGCUGAGGUGCGAAAGCGU
rnacentral:rRNA from 1 species